ACCCCAGGUCAGGCGGGGCUACCCGCUGAGUUUAAGCAUAUCAAUAAGCGGAGGA
rnacentral:rRNA from 4 species